rnacentral:lncRNA from 1 species
CCAGAAAGUCCUUCUCAAAUUCCACUCUGUCCUCUCCAGUGUCUUCAAAUCCAUGACUUGGAGUUCUUCCUCAUUGAUACCUUUACAAACAUAACUGAGACACCGUGUGGGAGACAUGUGCUGCUCUGUCUGCUCUGGGCCUACUAUCCUGACGUCAACAUUUAAUGGAACCCUCCUUCAAGCUGCAUUGCUAGAAGCUAAGUGCCCAGUCUCUAUGGGUUUCUCCUGCCAAGGUAUAUACAACCUACAAUGGAAGACCUGGCCAUCAAGCCCUGCCUGGACCUUUUGGACUACCCAGCAGUAAUAAAU